GACAGAGGGUGCAAACGUUGCUCGGAAUUACUGGGCGUAAAGCGCGUGUAGGCGGGCAUGCAAGUCGAGUGUGAAAUCCCUGGCUCAACCCAGGAACUGCAUUCGAAACUGCACGUCUAGAGUGUCGGAGAGGGAAGCGGAAUUCCUGGUGUAGCAGUGAAAUGCGUAGAUAUCAGGAGGAAUACCGAUGGCGAAGGCAGGUCUCUGGGCUGACACUGACGCUCAUGCACGAAAGCGUGGGGAGCAAACAGG
rnacentral:rRNA from 1 species